rnacentral:rRNA from 1 species
AUUGAACGCUGGCGGCAUGCCUUACACAUGCAAGUCGAACGGUAACAGGUCUUCGGAUGCUGACGAGUGGCGAACGGGUGAGUAAUACAUCGGAACGUACCCGAUCGUGGGGGAUAACGAAGCGAAAGCUUUGCUAAUACCGCAUAAGAUCUACGGAUGAAAGCAGGGGACCGCAAGGCCUUGCGCGAACGGAGCGGCCGAUGGCAGAUUAGGUAGUUGGUGGGAUAAAAGCUUACCAAGCCGACGAUCUGUAGCUGGUCUGAGAGGACGACCAGCAACACUGGGACAGAGACACGGCCCAGACUCCUACGUGAGGCAGCAGUGGGGAAUUUUGGACAAUGGGCGAAAGACUGAUCCAGCCAUGCCGCGUGCAGGAUGAAGGCCUUCGGGUUGUAAACUGCUUUUGUACGGAACGAAAAGACUCUUUCUAAUAAAGAGGGUCCAUGACGGUACCGUAAGAAUAAGCACCGGCUAACUACGUGCCAGCAGCCGCCGUAAUAC